GUAACUCAAAUUUAUAUGCAGUUGGAACAGCGCCCCUAGCGGCAAACGUAGGCAAACGUUCCAACUCCAUACAAAUUUCAGAUA
rnacentral:pre_miRNA from 1 species